rnacentral:rRNA from 1 species
ACACCGGCAGCUCAAGUGGUAGCCGCUUUUAUUGGGCCUAAAGCGUCCGUAGCCGGUCUGAUAAGUCUCUGGUGAAAUCCCACAGCUUAACUGUGGGAAUUGCUGGAGAUACUAUCAUGACUCGAGGUCGGGAGAGGCUGGAGGUACUCCCAGGGUAGGGGUGAAAUCCUGUAAUCCUGGGAGGACCACCUGUGGCGAAGGCGUCCAGCUGGAACGAACCUGACGGUGAGGGACGAAAGCCAGGGGCGCGAACCGGAUUAGAUCCCCGGGUAGUCCUGGCCGUAAACGAUGUGGACUUGGUGUUGGGAUGGCUUCGAGCUGCCCCAGUGCCGAAGGGAAGCUGUUAAGUCCACCGCCUGGGAAGUACGGCCGCAAGGCUGAAACUUAAAGGAAUUGACGGGG